AUGGCCCGGCAUAAAUGCUACGGACUUUUAAUCCGUAGGUUCCGGGUUCGAGCCCCGGGCGCCCUACCA
rnacentral:tRNA from 2 species